rnacentral:rRNA from 1 species
AACGAACGCUGGCGGCAUGCCUAACACAUGCAAGUCGAACGAGACCUUCGGGUCUAGUGGCGCACGGGUGCGUAACGCGUGGGAACCUGCCCUUAGGUUCGGAAUAACUCCCCGAAAGGGGUGCUAAUACCGGAUAAUGUCUUCGGACCAAAGAUUUAUCGCCUUUGGAUGGGCCCGCGUUGGAUUAGCUAGUUGGUAGGGUAAAAGCCUACCAAGGCGACGAUCCAUAGCUGGUCUGAGAGGAUGAUCAGCCACGCUGGGACUGAGACACGGCCCAGACUCCUACGGGAGGCAGCAGUGGGGAAUAUUGGACAAUGGGCGAAAGCCUGACCCAGCAAUGCCGCGUGAGUGAUGAAGGCCUUAGGGUUGUAAAGCUCUUUUACCCGGGAUGAUAAUGACAGUACCGGGAGAAUAAGCUCCGGCUAACUCCGUG